AGCAGCGUGGCUCAGUGGAAAGAGCACGGGGCUUGGGAGUCAGAGGUCAUGGGUUCGAAUCCCAGCUCUUCCA
rfam:Ornithorhynchus anatinus chromosome 7, whole genome shotgun sequence.